UAGAGGAAGUAAAAGUCGUAACAAGGUUUCCGUAGGUGAACCUGCGGAAGGAUCAUUAUCGAAUCGUAGGCGAGGGUUGUCGCUGGCCUCUCGGGGCAUGUGCACGCCCGAGCCCUUGAAUCCCAAACACCACAUGUGAACCCACCGUAGGCCUUCGGGCCUAUGUCUUAUCAUAUAAUCUGAAUGUCUAAUAGAAUGUAAACCCAUUUCGUUGCCUUGAAAACGUAACGAAAGAAAACUAUACAACUUUCAACAACGGAUCUCUUGGCUCUCGCAUCGAUGAAGAACGCAGCGAAAUGCGAUAAGUAAUGUGAAUUGCAGAUUUUCAGUGAAUCAUCGAAUCUUUGAACGCACCUUGCGCCCCUUGGUAUUCCGAGGGGCAUGCCUGUUUGAGUGUCAUUAAAUCCUCAACCCCUCCGAUUCGUUUCGGUGGGGAUUGGACUUGGAGCGUGCUGGCGAAGGUCGGCUCCUCUUUAAAUGCAUCAGCGGAGAAAAUGCCUUUUGCGCCUCUGGCCGUUCAGCGUGAUAAUGAUGUUGCGCUGCGGUCGAGCUUAAGGUCCGCUUCCAAAGGUCCUCGGACAAAUAUACAUAUGACUUUGACCUCAAAUCAGGUAGGACUACCCGCUGAACUUAAGCAUAUCAUA
rnacentral:rRNA from 1 species